GCGGUCUGUGAUGAUGCUAAUUUACUUGUUUUCGAGUCUCACGACCAUGAGACAGCAUCCUACAUGCACUACCAUCUGAGACCAC
rnacentral:snoRNA from 1 species